AACGCUCGCCUGGAAGGGGCUGGAAGCUAUUUUAGAUAAACCUUCCUUUAUGCUUUACUGCUUGGUCCCUGACAGAUACCCAUCUCUACUCUUCAUAAAAUAAUUUCCAGGCAGAUUUCAUAUCUGGUAUGAGAUAAAUUCUUUUCCAAUCAAGGUGAGAUGGAUCAUGAAUUCUGCUUUUGACUGUUACAAUGGUCACUAAUGUCAACUGCAAACACUGAAGCAGCUGUGUGUUUAUGUAGGAUGUCUGUGAUAUUGAAAUCAAAUAAAGAUGGAUUUCUGGAAAUUUUGAAGUCAAUCUGAUGGGACUGUUAACAAUCUCAAAGAAAUUUAGUGAGUUACGGUAAGCUGUAAAUGAAUCUGAUAGCACUUAUAGCCAAUUACACUAAAUCGCCAUAAGAAUUAAUUCAAUUAAGAGACUGGUCAGCUCCAGAAAGCCAGCCACGAACUGGCAGUUGUAACCAGUCAGUUCCAAGAACUGCCUCACCUCUUUCGAGUUAGCAGAAGGAAGUAAACUACAAGAACUUAGUCUCCCAGUGAAAAUAAUCUGAGUCUAGCCCCACUGUUGUACAGGCGCUGCUGCCGCUGAUGGCCAGAUGGGCUGAUGAUGCAACGCAAACGCACAAAAUCCAGUGGAGGCCUCCUGCACUGCAAACAACUGAGUGUUUCGUGUGUUUAUACUUUCUGCUCACAGAAAACCUCUGGAUGUUGCUGAGUCACUGUCAUAACCUUCUUUGGUUCAAUCGCUGGUCUACUCGCAGCUUCCCACUCAUGUUCGCCUGCCUCCCUGCCCAACACUCUGACUUUAACAAACUCACUCAUCAGGAUUACCUCUUUUCCACACCCAGACCACCUACUCCUCUGUGCUUCGCCUCCGCCUGCAUAAAUGAUCGUGAAAAUUCCGUCAGACCCUUUUGCUCCGUUCCACUCCUCAGGGGUCCUGCACUGAAAGUUACCGUGUGUCAGAUUCCCAACCCUCGGCCAUGACAGCUCCUCACGGACCACCUCACAGUAGCUGUAGUGAUUUUUUAGACUCUUAUUUCUCAGUUUGUGUUUAUGUAAAUGACUCUCAAAGUGUUGUGUUAAAGAAUCACAGUAUACUUUAAGUACAUAGUGUUCCAUAGGAGUAUUUUUAGUGUAGAUUCAUAGUUUGCUUUGUUACUCUACUUAAGUUUAUGGUUAACUUGCUGAGUGCUCCUUGUAUUUCUGUUUACAUGCGCCCCAGCACGCACUCUGUAAUAAAAGUCUUUUUUGCUUUCA